rnacentral:rRNA from 1 species
AGGGCGUACGGCGGAUGCCUUGGCCAUAUCAGCCGAUGAAGGACGCGAUAAGCUGCGAUAAGCUGCGGUGAGGUGCAAGUAACCUUUGACCCGCAGAUCUCCGAAUGGGGAAACCCGGCGUGAGUAGUCACGUCAUCCUCUAUGAGGAUGGGUACCCGGUGAACUGAAACAUCUAAGUAGCCGGAGGAAAAGGAAUCAACAGAGAUACCCCUAGUAGCGGCGAGCGAACGGGGCAGAGCCCAAACCGGAUUGGGAAACCAGUCCGGGGUUGCGGACUGCUAACAAGUGCAGGCGUGAAGCAGAACCGGUUGGGAAACCGGGCCAGAGAGAGUGAGAGCCUCGUAAGCGCAAGCAAAUGCAUGGAGCAGGAUCCAGAGUACCACGAGACACGAGAAACCUUGUGGGAAGCAGGGGGGACCACCCUCCAAGGCGAAACACUGAUAUGGACCGAUAGCGAAUAGUACCGUGAGGGAACGGUGAAAAGAACCCCGGGAGGGGAAUGAAAGAGAACCUGAAACCGUAUGUCUACAAGCAGUCGAAGCGCUUUAUAUGCGCGACGGCGUGCCUAUUGAAGAAUGAACCGGCGAGUUGCUGGUGCUAGCGAGGUUAAGCAGAAAAUGCGGAGCCGCAGCGAAAGCGAGUCUGAACAGGGCGUAUAGUUAGUAACAGCAGACCCGAAACCACAGUGAUCUACCCAUGUCCAGGUUGAAGCACAGGUAAAAAUGUGUGGAGGACCGAACCAGUGAGCGUUGAAAAGCUUUUGGAUGAGAUGUGGGUAGGGGUGAAAUGCCAAUCGAACGUGGAGAUAGCUGGUUCUCCCCGAAAUAGCUUUAGGGCUAGCCUCAUGGCGAGAGUACAGGCGGUAGAGCACUGAACAGGGUAGGGGCCUAUCCGGCUACUGAACCUAAUCAAACUACGAAUGGCUGUACUUAUCCAUGGGAGUCAGACUGUGAGUAAUAAGGCCCAUAGUCAAGAGGGAAACAGCCCAGACCAACAGCUAAGGUCCCCAAUGCCGUACUAAGUGGCGAAGGAUGUGGAAUUUCAAAAACAACCAGGAUGUUGGCUCAGAAGCAGCCACCAUUAAAAGAGUGCGUAAUAGCUCACUGGUCGAGAGACUCUGCGCCGAAGAUGUCCGGGGCUAAAGUACGGAACCGAAGCUUUGGCAAUUAACUUAAGUUAAUUGGGUAGGGGAGCGUUCCUGCAUGGGAGAAGCCUGACCGGAAGGACAGGUGGACAGGCAGGAAGAGAGAAUGCCGGUAUGAGUAGCGAAAAGAAGGGUGAGAAUCCCUUCCACCGAAAGCCUAAGGGUUCCUGGGCAACGAUCGUCGUCCCAGGGUAAGUCGGGACCUAAUCCGAGGCGGAGACGCGCAGGAGAUGGACAACAGGUUGAAAUUCCUGUACUGGCUGAUUCCGUUUGAGCAAGGGAGUGACACAGGAAGGAAGGCGCGCGUGCGAUUGGAAGAGCACGUCCAAGCAGGUAGGUGGGAAGACAGGCAAAUCCGUCUUUCCGAAAGCUGAGAUGCGAUGGGGAGCGUCUGGAAACAGACGCGAAGGGGCUGGCACUAAACUGUCGAGAAAAGCUUCUAGUGAGGAAUCAGGCACCCGUACCGAAACCGACACAGGUAGGCAGGAUGAGAAUUCUAAGGUGCGCGGGAAAACCCUCGUUAAGGAACUCGGCAAAAUGUAUCCGUAACUUCGGGAAAAGGAUAACCCGGCGUACGUGAAGUGCAGAAGCGCACGGAGCGGAACCGGGUGGCAGAAGAGAGGCCCAAGCGACUGUUUACCACAAACACAGGCGUCUGCUAAAGCGAAAGCUGAUGUAUAGAUGCUGACACCUGCCCGGUGCUGGAAGGUUAAGAGGAAGUGUUAGCGCAAGCGAAGCAGUGAAUUGAAGCCCCAGUAAACGGCGGCCGUAACUAUAACGGUCCUAAGGUAGCGAAAUUCCUUGUCGGGUAAGUUCCGACCCGCACGAAAGGUGUAACGAUUUGGGCACUGUCUCAACGAGGGACCCGGUGAAAUUGAAGUACCUGUGAAGAUGCAGGUUACCCGCGACUGGACAGAAAGACCCCAUGGAGCUUUACUGUAACCUGAGAUUGGAUUCCGGUAAGAGAUGUACAGGAUAGUUGGGAGACGUAGAAGCAAGUACGCCAGUAUUUGCAGAGUCAAUGGUGGGAUACCAACCUUGUUUUAUUGGAAUUCUAACGAGAAGCCUAACAAGCUUGCGGACAGUCUCAGGCGGGCAGUUUGACUGGGGCGGUCGCCUCCGAAAGAGUAACGGAGGCGCCCAAAGGUUCCCU